CUCUUGAUGGUGGUACCAUCAUUAGUGGUCUCUCAGUAUUGACUGGGUUUCCUUGUGAUGUGAUACACUUAAGAGCUCAUCAUAUGAGGAAGUUGAGCAAGAGCUCGUGUGGGCUAAACUCCUGAGUUUUAAGGAGUCCAAGUUUCCAAUGGCAGUUUGUAGCAGUCCAG